CACGGCGGGUGCUAACGUCCGUCGUGAAGAGGGAAACAACCCAGACCGCCAGCUAAGGUCCCAAAGUCAUGGUUAAGUGGGAAACGAUGUGGGAAGGCCCAGACAGCCAGGAUGUUGGCUUAGAAGCAGCCAUCAUUUAAAGAAAGCGUAAUAGCUCACUGGUCGAGUCGGCCUGCGCGGAAGAUGUAACGGGGCUAAACCAUGCACCGAAGCUGCGGCAGCGAACGUAUCACCCAAGACAACUUUGCACAGUUAACGAUUGACGGAGCGAAGCGACGUCAAAGCGUUUUACAACGUCGAGUUGGCUUAGGGAUACGUUCGUUGGGUAGGGGAGCGUUCUGUAAGCCUGCGAAGGUGGCCUGUGAGGGUUGCUGGAGGUAUCAGAAGUGCGAAUGCUGACAUAAGUAACGAUAAAGCGGGUGAAAAGCCCGCUCGCCGGAAGACCAAGGGUUCCUGUCCAACGUUAAUCGGGGCAGGGUGAGUCGACCCCUAAGGCGAGGCCGAAAGGCGUAGUCGAUGGGAAACGGGUUAAUAUUCCCGUACUUGGUGUUACUGCGAAGGGGGGACGGAGAAGGCUAUGUUGGCCGGGCGACGGUUGUCCCGGUUUAAGCGUGUAGGUGUGUGUUCCAGGUAAAUCCGGUUCACUUUAACACUGAGGCGUGACGACGAGGCACUACGGUGCUGAAGCAACAAAUGCCCUGCUUCCAGGAAAAGCCUCUAAGCAUCAGGUAACAUCAAAUCGUACCCCAAACCGACACAGGUGGUCAGGUAGAGAAUACCAAGGCGCUUGAGAGAACUCGGGUGAAGGAACUAGGCAAAAUGGUGCCGUAACU
rnacentral:rRNA from 1 species